rnacentral:rRNA from 1 species
UACGGGGGGGGCAAGCGUUGUUCGGAAUUACUGGGCGUAAAGGGCUCGUAGGCGGCCAACUAAGGCAGACGUGAAAUCCCUCAGCUUAACUGGGGAACUGCGUGUGAUACUGGAUGGCUUGGAUUUGGGAGAGGGAUGCGGAAUUCCAGGUGUAGCGGUGAAAUGCGUAGAUAUCUGGAGGAACACCGGUGGCGAAGGCGGCAUCCUGGACCAAUAUUGACGCUGAGGAGCGAAAGCCAGGGGAGCAAACGGG